rnacentral:rRNA from 1 species
AAUACGUAGGGUGCGAGCGUUGUCCGGAUUUAUUGGGCGUAAAGAGCUCGUAGGCGGUUUGUCGCGUCGGCCGUGAAAACCUGCAGCUUAACUGUGGGCUUGCGGUCGAUACGGGCAGACUUGAGUUCGGUAGGGGAGACUGGAAUUCCUGGUGUAGCGGUGAAAUGCGCAGAUAUCAGGAGGAACACCGGUGGCGAAGGCGGGUCUCUGGGCCGAUACUGACGCUGAGGCGCGAAAGCUAGGGGAGCGAACAG